AACGAACGCUGGCGGCAGGCUUAACACAUGCAAGUCGAGCGCCCCGCAAGGGGAGCGGCGGACGGGUGAGUAACGCGUGGGAAUCUACCCAGCUCUACGGAAUAACUCAGGGAAACUUGUGCUAAUACCGUAUACGUCCGAUAGGAGAAAGAUUUAUCGGAGUUGGAUGAGCCCGCGUUGGAUUAGCUAGUUGGUGGGGU
rnacentral:rRNA from 1 species